AUGUGCAAUGAGGAGUUAAUAAAGGAGAGGGAUGGCCUGAGUCUGGCACUGUACAGGAACACUAUCAUCAAUGAGGAGCUGGAGAGGAAGAACACCAAACUAGAAGAAAAACUUAGACUCCUGCAGUCCGAAAAGUCCAGCAUCCAGCUCAGUGUCCAGGAGCUACAAAAAAAGCUGGAUAGGACCAACCUCCUGCUGCCGCAGGUGCAGCUACAGGAGGAGAUUGAGAACCUGAAGCAGGAGCUACAGAAAACCAAAAGAGAGCUCCAAGAAGCGCUGGAUGAAAAUAAUCGCUGGGAACACCUCUACCAGCAGCAGGAAGAGACAAUGAGGGAACACAAGAUGAUGAUGGUGGAUUGGGAGGAGAAAAUACUGCAGGAGGAACUAAAGAUGCGGGAGCAGGAAGAGACAAUGAGGGAACACAAGAAGAUGGUGGAUUGGGAGGAGAAAAUACUGCAGGAGGAACUAAACAUGCGGCAGCAGGAAGAGACAAUGAGGGAACACCAGCGGAUGAUACAAAGGCGAGAGGAGAAGAUUCAGGAGGAGGAACAGAAGAUUCAGGAGGAGGAAAAGAAAAGGCUGUGGGAUGCGAAGGAACAACUGAGGGAGCAGGAGAAGAAAAUACAGCAGAAGAGACAAUGAGGGAACACAAGAAGAUGAUGGUGGAUUGGGAGGAGAAAAUACUGCAGGAGGAACUAAACAUGCGGCAGCAGGAAGAGACAAUGAGGGAACACCAGCGGAUGAUGCAAAGGCGAGAGGAGAAGAUUCAGGGACGGGAAAAGAAGAUUCAGGAGCAGGAGGAAAAGAUUUGGGAGGAGAAGAGGCGUCAGGAGGAGAAAAAGAUUCAGCAGGAAAAGAAGAGGCUGUGGGAUGCGAAGGAACAACUGAGGGAGCAGGAGAAGAAAAUGAAGGAGGAGAAAGAACGGCUGAGGGAGUGGGAAGAGAAGAUGGAGAAGCAGGAGGUGAUGAUGCAGGAAAAGAAGAAGCGGAGGGAGCAGGAGAUGUGGGAGAAGGAGGGGAGGCAGGAGCAAGUGGAGAAGAGGGGAGAGCAGGACGACAUGAUGUGGGAGAAGAACAUGUGGGAGGAGUACAGGCUGUGGAAAUAGGAGAAGACAAUGCAGGAGUAGAAUUGUAAAAUACUGGCUGGGUGCGGUCGUAAAAUACGGUUAAUAUCAAAUUUACCAUUUUAAUAAAAGUUAUUUUAAAGUUUCUACCUGAGGACUCUCAUAUCUAUGUAUGUUUCUAUUGUCUUUUUUAUCUCUUGGUCUUUCUCUUUUAGUCUUGCCUGAUGGCAUGCCUAGUAAACUUUCAUCUGCCUCCAGAGUGUAUUGACUUUGACUCUAUGGCACACAAUCUGAGUAAGGGCAGAUCACUUUCAUCUAAUUUGGGACACUAAGCUGGUUCAAAGCAGAUUUUAGGUUUUGUGACAGCUGGUCUAAUUUUUAUCCAUUUGGGCUCCUAGGGGCGACCCUUCCAGGGUCACCACCAAGGCCCCAACUCCUUACUGGGACCCAAGUUCUCAUGAAGUCAUUUGAGCCCUGUGAGAGUGCCAGACAUUCAGCUCGGCUUUCCAGCCUCUUAACUAUGCCUUCAUAGUCGGUUUCUUAGCCUCUUGGCCCUAUGCCGUUUACCAGUCACCAAAUGUGGGGAAAAGACCUACAGACUGUCGGGGCCACCUCCAAGGCCAGGUCACUCAAGUCCUCGCUGAGGUCUCUAGUUACCUUCCAACAAUUGUUUUUCGUGGGGGUGGGGGCACAGUUUUUCUAACUGUCCAGUUUCUCUAACUGUUCUUGUGAAGAGAAGUUGAAAAUCUCCUCCUGUCUUUAUUUAUUUAUUUAUUAUUUUUAACAGAGUCUCACUCUGUUGCCCAGGCUCUAGUGCAGUGGUGUGAUCUGGGCUCAAUGUAACCUCGGACUGCUGGGUUCAAGCAGUUCUCCUGCCUCAGCCUCUCCAGUAGCUGGGAUCACAGGUGUGUUGGCACUGCCUGGCUAGUUUUUGUAUUUUUAGUUCCACCGUGUUGGCUAGGGUGAUCUCGAGCUUCUGACUCAGGUGACCUACCUGCCCUGGCCUCCUAAAGUGCUGAGAUGAUAGGUGUGCACCACCAUCUCUUUUAAUAAAUGUUUUUGGCUGGGUGCGGUGUCUGAUGCCUGUAAUCCCAGCACUUUGUGAGGCUGAGGCANNNNNNNNNNNNNNNNNNNNNNNNNNNNNNNNNNNNNNNNNNNNNNNNNNNNNNNNNNNNNNNNNNNNNNNNNNNNNNNNNNNNNNNNNNNNNNNNNNNNCGCUGCCGUCCCGUGGAGUCGCCGCCUGCUCCGAAAGCAGUCCACGUAACUGGACAACUACAGGUUCCUUUACACAAGUCCAAUAAUCACAUCUUCUUUAUAUACUCACAGUGAGGCUUUUUUAUUUUUUAGAAGGCAGCCUUUCAAACGUGUUUAUUAGAAUGCACGCUGACUCUGCUAUAAUUUAAAGAAAACACAGCUAUGCUGACAUCCACUGCCCUCAUUACCAUGUGUUUCUUCCCCAAAGUUUUGUCAAACUUUCAAAAAAUCCUUUUCCAAAUAGUUAUUCACAGCUAACUGCCCAUCAGACCAAGGUCCCCAGGCUUUUAGAGACACUUCCAUUGUGAAAUGGACGGCAGCCCCCACCCCAGCCACCAGGCCACCCACCACUGGCCACGGCAGUGUGUGAGCAGCAGCGCCCCCACGUCUUUGCCACUGUCCUGCUGGUCUGAGUAUACCCCUGAGGAUCGACAGGCUCUCCCACAGACACUGCCCCACCAUGAGCAGAUCCAGGGCAGCAGGGUAGAAAUGGACUCUCUUCUAGGGUGGGAGUAGGGGAGUCUUCUGUGAAACAUCAGUGGCCAAUCAGCCCUCAGAAAGACUUCACUCCUGAGUCUGAGGGGUGAGCAUAAGAGUGGCCGGAGCAUUCACACAACAUGCUUCAUAACUGGACCAGUGAAGUGCUCAGCCACCAUUAGAACUGCAAGGCACCCACCCCUCCCACCCCCUCGCUUCAGCAUCUGCGAGGCCUCUACCAGGAGGUUCCUUGCUCUCAGGCCCCUCUGCUCCCUUCUCUGGGACAGCCAGGGUCCUACCUGCUCGUGAGGCCACUUCGGCCUCUCCUCUGGGGUCCUGGUGUUGGGAUUGAAGCCUCUCUGGGGAUCUCCGCGGUGCUUGGCCUUGGAAGGGAGGUUCACAGUGACUUGGCCCUUGUCUCGUGCCUGCUGGGGCCUUGCUGGCAAGGCAGGCCUCUGCAGAAUCCCCAGGCCCUGGCUCAGGCCCAUGCUCAGGGCCGGCCUCAUUGGCGCUGGUGAUGCUCAUCGUGCUCAGGCUCAUCUUGAUUGCGGCCACGAUCUGGUCGAUGUCCUCCUCCUGGUCCUCCAGGUCCCCAUCCCCACACCUCAGGCAAUAGGGGGAGGUGCCAGUGUUCCCGUUGGCCUCUGCCAGGUAGUAGUCCUGGGGACAGUGAGGGCCAUCUUCUUCCUGGUCACGGGCCUCUAGGACGGAGGGCUCAAACUCCCGGAUGGGCAGGUAGUGAUCCAGGUAGUCCUGGCUGCCUUCAGCCCUGUGGCCCUGGGGGUGUGGGCCUGCCGAGUCCGUCCAUUACUCCACUGAUGGCCUCCUGGCACUCGUCGCCAUCCACUGCAUGCACGCUGUGUGGGCCAGGUACUCCUCUCCGUUGCAGUCCAUGCCCUCCAGGUAGCCGUCAUCCUCGGGGCAGUAGUGGACUUAGUAGGUGAUGCCCUCUCCUCCUCCUCAGAAGGGCCCUCGUCAUAGUCCUCCCUCCCUGGAGGUGUUGUUCAUGUAGUUGGAGCUGGAGUCCCCAUCGGGGCUGUGGUUGUCGCACUCCUGUUCUUUGGGCAUGGAGCUCUCUGGCCACAGGGUGGCCAGCUCCAGGCCCUCAGGUACAUGGCCUCCAAUGGCAGCUCCACGUCCUUGCUCUUGGGCUCCUGGCACUGUGGGACCAGGCCUGGCCUUGCCCUGUGGUCCAACAUGCCGCUCCCCACACUCUCACACUUCUGGUGGGCCAUGGUGGGCACUCACACAGUCGUCAUCUCCCGGAGGGAACCACAGCAGAAAGGAACACUGGGAAG
ensembl:lincRNA